GGGAAGUCCGGUGAGAAUCCGGCACAGCCCCGCUACUGUAAGGGGAUACGAAAGCCAGAUUCUCUUGAGUGAUUCAAUCACCAAAGAGAAUUAGCCACUCGAUUGAGGAAGGCCUGGCCGGUAGGUCAAGCCCCAAGUCAGGAAACC
rnacentral:ncRNA from 2 species